rnacentral:rRNA from 1 species
UACAGAGGUCUCAAGCGUUGUUCGGAUUCAUUGGGCGUAAAGGGUGCGUAGGCGGCGCGGUAAGUCGGGUGUGAAAUCUCGGAGCUCAACUCCGGGCCUGCAGCCGAUACGGGCAGACUAGAGUUCGGCAGGGGAGACUGGAAUUCCUGGUGUAGCGGUGAAAUGCGCAGAUAUCAGGAGGAACACCAAUGGCGAAGGCAGCUCGCUGGGACGUGACUGACGCUGGAGACGCGAAAGCGUGGGGAGCAAACAGG